CAUCAUGUCCAAGCCUGAUCUUGUAAACUUUCAAAAGCUAAGCAGGGCUGGACUUGGAUUGUACAUGGAUGGGAGACCAUUGGUAAUACCUGGUGCCACAGUGA
rnacentral:rRNA from 1 species